UUACUUCUUUCCCGGGGCAGCAGUAGGGAAUCUUCCACAAUGGACGAAAGUCUGAUGGAGCAAUGCCGCGUGAGUGAAGAAGGGUUUCGGCUCGUAAAACUCUGUUGUUAAAGAAGAACACCUUUGAGAGUAACUGUUCAAGGGUUGACGGUAUUUAACCAGAAAGCCACGGCUAACUACGUGCCAGCAGCCGCGGUAAUACGUAGGUGGCAAGCGUUGUCCGGAUUUAUUGGGCGUAAAGCGAGCGCAGGCGGUUUUUUAAGUCUGAUGUGAAAGCCUUCGGCUUAACCGGAGAAGUGCAUCGGAAACUGGGAGACUUGAGUGCAGAAGAGGACAGUGGAACUCCAUGUGUAGCGGUGGAAUGCGUAGAUAUAUGGAAGAACACCAGUGGCGAAGGCGGCUGUCUAGUCUGUAACUGACGCUGAGCUCGACGCUUAUCCCGGCC
rnacentral:rRNA from 1 species